rnacentral:tRNA from 1 species
ACUUGAAUAGUUUAAUUUAAAAUGCUGAUUUGUGGUGUCGGUGAUGAGGUUUAUUACUUCUUUAGGUU